rnacentral:lncRNA from 13 species
GGAACAUAUAAGAUAAUUUUAUGUAGUUGAAUCAAAACAAAUAUAUCUAAUUCAUUAAUAGAUGCUAGAGAACCUGAUGAUGGAUUUAGAGAUAGGGAUUUAGAGGUAAACUGAAUGCUUAUCAGCUAAGCCACUUGUUAGCUGUGUGACCUUAGACAGGUUGUUUGAUCCUUCUAAAACUUAGAUUCCUCAGCUGAAAAAAAAAGGGGGGGAAUUAUAGUGCUAUUUCAUUGUUAUGAUAAUUAAAUGAAGUAAUAAAAUCAUAUAGCACAGUAUUGGGAAUAAAUUUUAAAAAAGGUAAAUGUUUGCCAUUUAUAUUCCAUUCAAGAGGUUGUCUACUUUUGCAUAGUAUGAAAGCAAUUUAAUAAAAUGAGAGUAAGUAGAAAUUUUUAAUUCCUGUGUGUAGAACAAUCCUUAUUUGCUACCUAAUUUAAUAAAUAUAAAGUAAUCUAAAAAUCUUUAUUGCUUGUUCAUAACUGUCUUUGUACCCCCAGGUUUCACCUGUGCACACGAUGGUGAGAGUGAGGCUGAAUUAAUACCUGACAACUUUGAAGAAAAACCAGAGAGGGAAAAGAAGCAUACCAACUUUACUUUGUGCAACGUAUGUAACAUUCAGCUGAAUUCAGCCGCUCAAGCUCAAAUCCACUACAAUGGCAAAUCACAUCAAAAGAGAUUGAAACAACUCAGCAACGGGAUGCUGAAAAAUGACAAUGGCUUUGAUAGCGGGAGAUACGCUUGGGGAAUUGUAGUGAACGUGAAAGGAGUGAGUGAUGGCGCUCUACAGAGGAUGCCAGAUGUAGGAGGAGAGAAGGUUUUCACAGAUGCAUCUGCUGGAAUCCAUCAUGGAGGGGAUGGCAACUGCACUGGCAUAAAUGCAUUUUCCCUCAGAGCUGGACCAAUUUGUCUCCAAAUUGAACAAUACGUGGACACUUUCAAAGGAAAAAGGAACAGGUUCUCACAUAUGUCCCUCACUUCCCAAGGCUGGCAAAUUAUUUUUAUAAUGUGAUUUUUAUAUAUUUUAUAUAAGUGAAUAAAUCCCUUUAAUUUUUAACA